rnacentral:rRNA from 1 species
AAUGACGAUUUAGUGACUGAGCGGCGGACGGGUGAGUAACGCGUGAGGAACCUGCCUUGAAGAGGGGGACAACAGUUGGAAACGGCUGCUAAUACCGCAUGAGCGCACAGAGCUGCAUGGCUCGGUGUGAAAAACUCCGGUGGUAUGGGAUGGGCCCGCGUCUGAUUAGCUAGUUGGUGUGGUAACGGCAUACCAAGGCAACGAUCAGUAGCCGGGCUGAGAGGCUCUUCGGCCACAUUGGGACUGAGACACGGACCAGACUCC